rnacentral:rRNA from 1 species
GAACGCUGGCGGCGUGCCUAAUACAUGCAAGUCGAACGAAUCUUCUUCGGAAGAUGAGUGGCGAACGGGUGAGUAAUACAUAGGUAACCUGCCCCUGUGCGGGGGAUAACAGGAGGAAACUCCUGCUAAUACCGCAUAGCCAUGAGCACCGCAUGGAGCUCAUGCCAAAUAUCCUUCAGGGGAUAGCGCAGGGAUGGACCUAUGGCGCAUUAGCUAGUUGGCGGGGCAACGGCCCACCAAGGCAACGAUGCGUAGCCGGCCUGAGAGGGCGGACGGCCACAUUGGGACUGAGACACGGCCCAGACUCCUACGGGAGGCAGCAGUAGGGAAUUUUCGGCAAUGGGGGAAACCCUGACCGAGCAACGCCGCGUGAGCGAAGAAGGCCUUCGGGUCGUAAAGCUCUGUUGUAAAGGAAGAACGUCGCAUGCAGGAAAUGGUGUGCGAGUGACGGUACUUUACCAGAAAGCCACGGCUAACUACGUGCCAGCAGCCGCGGUAAUACGUAGGUGGCGAGCGUUAUCCGGAAUCAUUGGGCGUAAAGAGGGAGCAGGCGGCCGCAAGGGUCUGUGGUGAAAGACCGAAGCUAAACUUCGGUAAGCCAUGGAAACCGGGCGGCUAGAGUGCGGAAGAGGAUCGUGGAAUUCCAUGUGUAGCGGUGAAAUGCGUAGAUAUAUGGAGGAACACCAGUGGCGAAGGCGACGGUCUGGGCCGCAACUGACGCUCAUUCCCGAAAGCGUGGGGAGCAAAUAGGAUUAGAUACCCUAGUAGUCCACGCCGUAAACGAUGGUCACUAAGUGUCGGGGGUCAAACCCCGGUGCUGCAGUCAACGCAAUAAGUGACCCGCCUGAGUAGUACGUUCGCAAGAAUGAAACUCAAAGGAAUUGACGG